CUACGGCCAUGUCACGCUGAAACACUGGUUCUCAUAUGAUCACCAAAGUUAAGCAAUGUUGAACCUGGUCAGUAUCUAGGUGGGUGACUGCUUAGGAAUUCCAGGUGCUGUAAG